rnacentral:rRNA from 1 species
UACAUAGGGAGCGAGCGUUAUCCGGAUUUAUUGGGCGUAAAGCGCGCGUAGGCGGUUCUGUAAGUUAGGUGUUAAAGCCAUCGGCUCAACCGAUGACCGCACUUAAGACUGCAGUGCUAGAGUUUGGGAGAGGGAAGGGGAACUAACAGUGUAGCGGUGAAAUGCGUAGAUAUUGUUAGGAACACCAGUGGCGAAGGCGCCUUCCUGGACCAAAACUGACGCUAAAGUGCGAAAGCGUGGGGAGCAAACAGG